rnacentral:rRNA from 1 species
AUCUAUAGCCAUGCCACCCUGAAUGUGCCCAAUCUCGUCUGAUCUCGGAAGCUAAGCAGGGGCCUGGUUAGUACUUAGAUGGGAGACCACCUUAGAAUACCAGGUGCUGUAGGCG